rnacentral:snRNA from 1 species
GGAUGUGAGGGCAUCUGGCUGCGACACCUGUCACCCCACUGGUCGCCAGGGUUGAUCAGGCUGAUCUGGCUGGCUGGACGGGCGUCCCCUUCCUCCCUCACCCCCCAUGUGCGUCCCUCCCUGAAGCGGUGCUCGGUCGAAGAGACAGACCGAUCUUCAGUCGAGGGUGUAUGAGUAGCUGUGCUCCCCUGCUAGACCCUCCAAACAAGCUCUCAAGGUGUGUAUGCUUACCACAAUUUUCAUUCAUUCAUUUCCUUCACAUUGGAUAGAGACAGAGAGGAAUUGAGAGGGGAGGGUAAU